rnacentral:tRNA from 1 species
UCUGGUUGUGGCCGGACCCGGCCCGUGGUCGCUGGAUAGCGCCCUGCGCGGCGGCCGACGCUGACGCGUGACGCGGCGUCCGGUCAGCCGAUCCGGAC